AUUGAACGCUGGCGGCAGGCCUAACGCAUGCAAGUCGAGCGGAUGAAGGGAGCUUGCUCCUGGAUUCAGCGGCGGACGGGUGAGUAAUGCCUAGGAAUCUGCCUGGUAGUGGGGGAUAACGUCCGGAAACGGGCGCUAAUACCGCAUACGUCCUGAGGGAGAAAGUGGGGGAUCUUCGGACCUCACGCUAUCAGAUGAGCCUAGGUCGGAUUGGCUAGUUGGUGGGGUAAAGGCCUACCAAGGCGACGAUCCGUAACUGGUCUGAGAGGAUGAUCAGUCAAACUGGAACUGAGACACGGUCCAGACUCCUACGGGAGGCAGCAGUGGGGAAUAUUGGACAAUGGGCGAAAGCCUGAUCCAGCCAUGCCGCGUGUGUGAAGAAGGUCUUCGGAUUGUAAAGCACUUUAAGUUGGGAGGAAGGGCAGUAAGUUAAUACCUUGCUGUUUUGACGUUACCAACAGAAUAAGCACCGGCUAACUUCG
rnacentral:rRNA from 1 species